rnacentral:rRNA from 1 species
AUUGAACGCUGGCGGCAGGCUUAACACAUGCAAGUCGAACGCCCCGCAAGGGGAGUGGCAGACGGGUGAGUAACGCGUGGGAACAUACCCUUCGGUUCGGAAUAGCUCAGGGAAACUUGGAUUAAUACCGGAUACGUCCGCAAGGAGAAAGAUUUAUCGCCGAAGGAUUGGCCCGCGUCUGAUUAGCUAGUUGGUGAGGUAACGGCCCACCAAGGCGACGAUCAGUAGCUGGUCUGAGAGGAUGAUCAGCCACAUUGGGACUGAGACACGGCCCAAACUCCUACGGGAGGCAGCAGUGGGGAAUAUUGGACAAUGGGCGCAAGCCUGAUCCAGCCAUGCCGCGUGAGUGAUGAAGGCCCUAGGGUUGUAAAGCUCUUUUACCCGGGAAGAUAAUGACGGUACCGGGAGAAUAAGCCCCGGCUAACUUCGUGCCAGCAGCCGCGGUAACAC